GACAGAGGGUGCUAGCGUUGUUCGGAAUUACUGGGCGUAAAGGGCGCGUAGGCGGCCCGUUUAGUCGGGUGUGAAAUCCCGGGGCUCAACCCCGGAACUGCAUUCGAUACUGGCGGGCUUGAGACCGGAAGAGGUGGGUGGAAUACCCAGUGUAGAGGUGAAGUUCGUAGAUAUUGGGUGGAACACCGGUGGCGAAGGCGGCUCACUGGUCCGGUUCUGACGCUGAGGCGCGAAAGCGUGGGGAGCAAACAGG
rnacentral:rRNA from 1 species